rnacentral:rRNA from 1 species
AAUGAACGCUGGCGGCGUGCUUUACACAUGCAAGUUGAGCGAGGCCACCCGCAAGGGUGAGUCGAGCGGCGAACGGGUGAGUAACGCGUGGAUAACCUGCCCUGAGGUGGGGAAUAACCCGGGGGAAACUCGGGCUAAUACCGCAUGAUACCAAGCGGUCAAAGGGGGCUCGCAAGAGCUCCUGCCACAGGAGGGGUCCGCGUUCGAUUAGCUAGUUGGUAGGGUAAUGGCCUACCAAGGCGACGAUCGAUAGCCGGCCUGAGAGGGUGAUCGGCCACACUGGAACUGAGACACGGUCCAGACUCCUACGGGAGGCAGCAGUGGGGAAUUUUGCGCAGUGGGCUAACGCCUGACGCAGCAACGCCGCGUGGAGGAUGAAGGUC